AGGUUAUCGGAUCGGUUGGGUGAUGGCCUUCACGGGUUAUUGCCACAGCUGAGAAGACACCCGAACUUGAUCGUUUAGAGGAAGUAAAAGUCGUAACAAGGUUUCCGUAGGUGAACCUGCGGAAGGAUCAUUACUGAUUUGCGAUUGUGUGGAAACCGGAGAAACCCAACGCGUGAUGCGAAUAGGUAAAACGGAGUUGAUCGGCUCCAGUCGUUUUACCGACCGGUCCGCUGGUGUCGGUAUAAUGUGACCAGCCGUGGUGGUUUAAGCCUCCUGGACUCUUUUUAGUCCACGGAUCGAGACCAGACCGUCCCGCAGCGCUGGGUGAGUCUCGGUUGCCCGCCCUUGGCCGCUUCAAGGGGAGGAGACGUUCGGGGUACGUAGCCCUUUUGGAAAGGGAGACUUUUCCUUUGGGGGGGACCGCAACGGUCGGCGCACGUUUGAAGACUGCAGCUCUGGCAGCGCCCCGACAGCCACGUUCGUUUUUUCAACUUUUAUAAAAAACAAUCUUUUAUCAACCAAAACUAACUCUGAUGACAUUUGCCUUUGUCGUCGGGAGUUUUUCCAC
rnacentral:rRNA from 1 species